rnacentral:rRNA from 1 species
CAGCGCCACGGUAAUACGAAGGGUGCAAGCGUUAAUCGGAAUUACUGGGCGUAAAGCGUGCGUAGGCGGUUUGUUAAGUCUGCUGUGAAAUCCCCGGGCUCAACCUGGGAAUGGCAGUGGAUACUGGCAAGCUAGAGUGUGUCAGAGGAUGGUGGAAUUCCCGGUGUAGCGGUGAAAUGCGUAGAGAUCGGGAGGAACAUCAGUGACGAAGGCGGCCAUCUGGGACAACACUGACGCUGAGGCACGAAAGCGUGGGGAGCAAACAGGAUUAGAUACCCCCGUAGUCCCUGUCUCUUAUACC